AACUACUGUGGUCAUGGUGUCUCUUCACAGCAAUAGAACAACCGUGACCAAGACAUCAAAGAAGACCUUAAACUCCUAGUUGUCCUGUUUCUGCCUUCCAAGAGCUGAGAUUACAGGUCUUGGCUGUGGAGCCCACAAAGCAGGCAGGCCUGGACUUAAGAAGAGAAAGAAGUAUCCCUCUGGCUUCCCCUGGAGCUGUGCUUCUGUCUCCACCAGUACAGAAGACAAGAGACCUAGGGUGCAUGCAUGAUGUCAUUGAGGAGGCACUCGGGUUGGCACCACUGGUCGUUUCAGAGAUGUAUCUUUUGGGAGAAUGACCUCAGCCAAGGGAUCCUGGGAAGCAGCGGCUUCCAGCAUCUGGAACUCACUAUUGGAGUCCUCAUGCACUCAGAUCUUGUAUAGGCAGGCGCUCCUUGGCCACAGCGUUCUCCUUCCUU